GCAGUAUUUUCUCCUUAAAUCACAAACUAAGAUUCAAAACUGAAAAACCGACAGUCAACUUGCUAUUUACAACCAUGGGCUUUUUUAAUAAUUCGCUGUACACUGAAGCAAUGACUUUACAAAGAAGACAUGGCUGGCAGAGAGCACAGGUCCAAAUCUGCUCUCUGAAACCCCGAGAAGCUAAUUUCCAUGUCCAAGCUAGUGUUUCAAAGAGAUUUCUUUUCAUGUGUUUUCCUAGGAGGGCAAGAUUUCAAAGAGGAAACUAAGCAAAGCAAGGUAACCCCCGUGCUGCCGGCUGGGGUUUUCAAUUAGCAUUUCUGACUAAUACUUUGGCAAAAUUACUCACAAAUAUUUCCAGAGUUGAGAAAUCAUCUCGUGGUACUUGUUUGCUCAUAUUCUCAGCACAGCAGAGCCUUGAUGAAAUCCACGGGAGGGAAAACUGGUGUGAACUGAUGUGAAGGCAUCAAAAGGUUUGUGUUUGUUGUUGAAGAUGUGAUCUCUUGACUUCCUGCUCCUGCCACCGUGCUUGCCACUUGCUGCUAUGUCCCUGGCCAUUAUGGACUCUUCUGGAACUGUAAUCCCAAAUAAAAUAUUUUC
rnacentral:lncRNA from 1 species